ACGCGCAGAGACCUUAUCCAGGAU
rnacentral:piRNA from 1 species